UACGUAGGGUGCUAGCGUUGUCCGGAAUCAUUGGGCGUAAAGAGCUCGUAGGCGGUUUGUCGCGUCGGCUGUGAAACUCGGGGCUCAACCCUGGCCUGCGAGUCGAUACGGGCAGACUAGAGUUCGGUAGGGAGACUGGAAUUCGUGUGUAGCGGUGAAAUGCGUAGAGUAUCGGAGGAACACCUGUGGUGUAGACGGCUACUCGUGGACGGCGACUGACGCUGAGACACGAAGCGUGGGUAGCAAACAGG
rnacentral:rRNA from 1 species